rnacentral:rRNA from 1 species
GAAAGGUGCUUGCACCUUUCAAGUGAGUGGCGAACGGGUGAGUAACACGUGGACAACCUGCCUCAAGGCUGGGGAUAACAUUUGGAAACAGAUGCUAAUACCGAAUAAAACUUAGUGUCGCAUGACACAAAGUUAAAAGGCGCUUCGGCGUCACCUAGAGAUGGAUCCGCGGUGCAUUAGUUAGUUGGUGGGGUAAAGGCCUACCAAGACAAUGAUGCAUAGCCGAGUUGAGAGACUGAUCGGCCACAUUGGGACUGAGACACGGCCCAAACUCCUACGGGAGGCUGCAGUAGGGAAUCUUCCACAAUGGGCGAAAGCCUGAUGGAGCAACGCCGCGUGUGUGAUGAAGGCUUUCGGGUCGUAAAGCACUGUUGUAUGGGAAGAACAGCUAGAAUAGGAAAUGAUUUUAGUUUGACGGUACCAUACCAGAAAGGGACGGCUAAAUACGUGCCAGCAGCCGCGGUAAUACGUAUGUCCCGAGCGUUAUCCGGAUUUAUUGGGCGUAAAGCGAGCGCAGACGGUUUAUUAAGUCUGAUGUGAAAGCCCGGAGCUCAACUCCGGAAUGGCAUUGGAAACUGGUUAACUUGAGUGCAGUAGAGGUAAGUGGAACUCCAUGUGUAGCGGUGGAAUGCGUAGAUAUAUGGAAGAACACCAGUGGCGAAGGCGGCUUACUGGACUGCAACUGACGUUGAGGCUCGAAAGUGUGGGUAGCAA